GGUGGUAAAAUAUCCGUAUACCCCUUUUAACCCCCUAACAACGGCUUACCAAUUUGCCUUUAUUUUAUUUUUUUUGUCUCAUUUUCUCAUAUUAUUUGAGAACUCCAAAUAAAAGCUAAUUAUCUCCAACUCCAAAAUCACCAUUUGGACGAAAAAAAAUCCUAAAAUUUCUUGAUCAUUGGUCGAUUGGCUUCGUUGGUUGGUGUUAGAGGUCGGGUAUAGAGAGGUUGAAGGUUCUUAUGCCGUGGGUGUAGCCCUUUCGUUCAUCAUCGUGGGUUUGAGGUGGGAUGUAUGGUAUUCCCCCAAUGAUGGAUUGAUAUGGAUUAGGUCUACCCAUGGAGUCUGCAGCUAGGGUGUGUAUUGAAGUUUGUUCUUCUUGUUACUUAUUAGAAUUGGGAAGUGGGUUUAUAUGUGCUAGAAUUCAAUUUUGCCUUACGUGAUGGAAGUAAAAAUUAAUUAUACAGAUGGCACAUGUGAUAAUGAGCGGACAUUCCCAAAAUGUGGAAAUAUUAAUUUCUCCUUUAGAACUAUUUGCAACAUGAGAAAAUGCAACACCCCAAAGCCUGGCUCGCAGCUUUUUGCUAAUAAUCAAUUCAAGCUACUUACACUAAGGUUAAGAGAUCAACUAAGUGAAUUCUAUAACAUGUUUGAGGGUUGAGAAGGUCCAGAGUCAUCUAGCAUUGCUCAAUGAGGGUGCCUAAAAGUCAGUCUUUUCUUCUUUAUGUUGCAACAAUUGUUAAGUUACUCUACCUUCUCAUGAUAUGUGUCAAGUUAUUGUAUUAAUUGCAAUGAUAUUUGACUAUUUGUGAUCUUUGUGGAUCAUACAAUGCAUCUUGUGUCAGCCAAAUUGUUUAAUUUUUAAUAGUUAGGUCAUGUACUUUUAGAAUAUACUCGUAUGUUCUAGUGGGUAUACUAUCAUGCAUGUUAGAAAUUUUCCAGUAUCUUAAAGGUUGCUAUGGUGGUCAACCUUUUCUGGUUUUCUUUGAUCCUAAGUCUCUUCAAACCUUCUUUAAGAAAUUGAUUAGCGGGUGCUUCUGUUAGAAGAUGAUAAAUCUAAGUUUGAUUUAAUUUAUUUGGUGAUUAGUCAAUUGCUCAUAGGAUAUGUAUGGGCUGAAAGUAAUUCUCUUCCCAUUGUUUUGUCUAUGAUCUGUUGGUGGAUGCAUAGGUAAGGUCUUAUGAAUCGUAUUUAUAGUGUAUUGAGCUGUGUGGUUCGACUUUUGGUUCAUGGUAUUUAUUUUUAUCAAAUGUCAUGGUUUUCCUUUUGGUGCUGAAAAUGGGUUUAUAUAACUGAGAUGAGAUUGGUUUUCUAAUAUGGUUACCAGUUGAUUCAAAUUUAGGGGAAAAAUUAGGGAAUAUACAAGGGAUGCAAAGAUUUUGAUGGAUAAAAUUUUAUUAAUGUUAGUUCUUCAAAUUCAAGUCACUAGUUGCAGUCUUAUUUUGUUACUAUGGUGACUAAUUUGUGUUAAAUGCAUUAAAAAUAAAUUAAAAAUAUCAUUUUUAUGUUUCCAAUUAUUGGUGAUUGUUUUUCUUAUUAAUUGUUGGAUCUAUGAUGUUUUUUCAAGUCAUUUUUAUUUUGUUUACUUAACUCAAACUCAGACUUUUGUGUUUGGCUACAUUGCUUCGAAUGAUUGAAAAGUAUUGUGCAAUUCGUCUUCGGUUCUGUAUUUGAAAAGAAAAGCAAAGUUAAGGCAGAAAAAAAGACCAUUUCUUUCUCUCUAGGAACAUUGCCUAUUUUAUGACCACACAUCAAAUUUCUACGUCUGUAUCUAUGCAAGUGUUGCUAUGAGCUUUAAUAUGCUGAAAAUUGGAACUAUAGCUUAGUGCAAGUACUUCAUCCAUUGUCAAUAUAUGUGUCUAUCCAACUAAUGAAGGGAUCAACAAUCCCUAUCUGCUCGUAAUUAAAUAGCUUUUUGAAUCUUUUGAGAACAUAUAUAAUGUUAUGUAGUUUUUUUAGAAACAAA